rnacentral:misc_RNA from 1 species
CGCAGAUAUGUAGCUCCAGAGGUUUUCAGGAAUGAGGAAUAUGAUACCAAAGUUGAUGUCUUUUCAUUUGCCUUGAUUUUACAAGAGAUGAUUGAAGGCUACCCCCCUUUCCAUGCGAAGGAAGAAAAUGAUGUACCUAAAUUGUAUGCUGCUAAAGAGCGCCCUCCUUUUAAAGCCCCGGCGAAGUUUUAUGCCCAUGGACUGAAAGAAUUGAUUGAAGAGUGUUGGAACGACAAGCCAACCGAGCGGCCAAGUUUCAAGCAAAUUAUCCCAAGGCUUGAGUUCAUCUAUAAAAAGUUUGACCACAACAAGCGCUGGAAGGUAAUUAGACCAUUGAACUGCUUUCAGCAUUUAGAGGCAAUGUGGAAGAAAGAUAGUUCAGGUUUAAGUAGUCGGAAUCGUUCAUCUCGGUCUACGCGCCACAUCUAAGUAAGUUUCUG